rnacentral:lncRNA from 1 species
CACCAGUUUCCAGUUUUGAAUUCUUGGGUCUUUAGAAUCCCACGUUGGAACACGAGGGCAUUGAGAGCACCAGUCUUCCUCUCCCGUUCUCUUCCCAUUCCUCACACCUCCCACACCCCCCGGCGCCUCGCACACACCUGUGUGGACGUGUCAGCCCUCGGGUCUGAGGCCAUGCCCACCUAUCGUGCCCUUCACCCUCAGGAGGAAGGACCCACCAUGAGUCCUGCCUGGUCCUAGCCCUGGACUUGGGCCUUCUGGGCAGGGAAUGCCGGAGUCCGUGUUCUAGAAGGAAAGGCAUCAGCUCCAUAUCCCCCGGCCCCGUGGAUCCCUCAUCCCAGAGGAAAGAUGGUGCCGGAGGCAGGCCAGGACAGGCGCUGCACUUACCCAGGCCCAAGGGUGCCCCAACAGAGAAGGGAUCUUGCUUCUCUCAUGUCCCCUCCAUAAGUACAAUUUUGGGGUUCCAUUCCAUUUUAUAAACACAAGCAAACACACACACACAGAGACUUUGUAUUCUGUGGUCGGGGAUGGGAAGGAGGGAACAGAAAACAUGGCCACAUAGCCAACCUCGCUAGGGCUGAGCAGGUGUCAAACAGACCCAACAGCCACAACGAACCCGGCCAGCGGGAAGUGAGCAUGGGACGGCAGUUUCCUAUCACCUUGAGGUGAUUCUGUCAAAGGCAGCAAACACGACUUAAUUUACGCUAGCCAGCAGGAAAAUACAGUCUUCCUGAUGCACCAAAAUAAGCCAGAUUGCCUAGGAGAGAAACAGACGCAAUUCAGGUUCCUGAAAGAACAUUCUAGAACCCUGAACGGACAGGCUGGCAAGACCAACUUGUCUUUCCCUGGAAAAGACCUGGCCGUGCUCAUGCCCCAGCCCUUCUAGAAGGAGGGAAGAGCCACCCCUACCACAUCCGAGGCAGCGCUGUGUGCAGCCCACAGCCACGUCUACAGACAGCAUCCUCGGCUCCUUGAUGUUUCACGUUGAUCUCGCCCCAUUGUCUCCACUUUUGGAAUUUGCUUUAUUUUCUUCAGCUCCAUUUGCCACCAGCUCUUAUCUGGGGGAGGAGUGGUGCUUCACGGCCCUGCAAAUUGCCAGCUCUCUGCUGAAACGACGCACCCUCGGCUGUCAGGGAGAGAAGCUUCAGCUCUUCCUGCUGAAUGAUGAUGAAGGAGCGAAUCAAAGGCUCGGUCAAGUGAGGAGGAUGGAAUCAGAAAAACAAAAAUCAGAAUUCUGGGCAAGCCAGGCUGAGCCACACAAAUCAGCUGAUGUGUCUAUCACUAAAGAAACACUCCAUUUGUCAAGGACAUCCUAGAGGAAAUCCCAGUUCCCUCUGGACGUCAUGAUGCAUGCAGUGGCCAGUAGGUGGCCUGCGGUGUCUAAGGGACAGCCCCUCUCCAGCUUCCAAAGCUGGGAAAAUUGGAAAACUUAGGAGCCAGCUAAUAGUUCUUCUAAAAAAAAAAAAAA